rnacentral:rRNA from 1 species
UACGUAGGGUGCGAGCGUUGUCCGGAAUUAUUGGGCGUAAAGAGCUCGUAGGCGGCUUGUCGCGUCGACUGUGAAAGCCCGGGGCUAACUCCGGGUCUGCAGUCGAUACGGGCAGGCUAGAGUGUGGUAGGGGAGAUCGGAAUUCCUGGUGUAGCGGUGAAAUGCGCAGAUAUCAGGAGGAACACCGGUGGCGAAGGCGG